AGACGUUUAUACGCUGAUAUGUUGAUAAUUUUAUUAAUGCACUUGACAGAACGAUAAAGUAUAUUCUCAAGCUAUAUUUUAUAUACCAUAGUAGUGUUUAAGUAUCGGUUUCACUGAAUCUUCUAUCAAGUUACUGUCGUGUUCCAAAAUUGCGGCACACAGAACCCAAAUGUAAACACGUUCUUUUGAAUUGUGCCAAAUGCAGAUAACAAUGAUUUUUCUUUAUCUGUUCAGUUUUUUUAAUAGUUUGACAUUUGUUUUUGAACAGGUAAAAAAUUUAGGUAGGAACCUAACCUGUAACUUAUCGAUUUUCUACAUUUCCGACAGUGACCUAAAGUGUUGACAGUUCAAAGGCUUGUAUUAUAACAAUUAAGAUGUCAGUGUUACACAGCUGAAUAUGCAUGUACAUUGCCAAGUAGCUUGAAGAACAUGAAAGGGACCAGGAUUAAUCAUUUUGCCAUUCCUUGGCAAUUAUGACAGAAGCUCAAGCACCUAUCAUGAAGCCAUAAAUAAAGUUAUUUAAUCCUUUUAAAACUGAAAACAUUCUUUUAAAACUUGGUUACAGUUCUUUCCAAUGAAUAAAAUACAUUAACAGAUUCAUGUAAUACCAUUAUAAAUGUGGAAGUUUUUAAAUGAAGUUUGGCUGUGAAAUCACCUCUAUGACACUUACAAAAAUAAAUUCAAAUGAAAAUACAGACUGG